UUCCACUGAAUGAAAAAAAAAAUGAAAGGAAAGGAAAGGACAUGACUGUGCCUAUGUAGGCUGGAGAAGAAAAUUUAUUAUAGAUAUGUGGGAGAACAUAGCCAGAAGUAUUCAGGCAUCUGCACUGGUCUGCCCUUGGGGUCCUGACAGGAGCCAUCCUCAGACUCUCCUAGUGCUUCAUCCUGCCUGCAGGCAAUCUGAGGUAUGCCAGGACCCUGGAAUGGUGUCCACAUGACAGCCUUGCUUCUCCUGAUCACUGAGUCCUUCCCUCUAACACUGGAAUGAUAGUGAGACACGUCUGCUCCUGAAAGCACCAAUCUACUUCAAGAGGAAGAUGGACAUCGAAG